rnacentral:rRNA from 1 species
UACGUAGGGUGCAAGCGUUAAUCGGAAUUACUGGGCGUAAAGCGUGCGCAGGCGGUUGUGUAAGACAGAUGUGAAAUCCCCGGGCUCAACCUGGGAACUGCAUUUGUGACUGCACAGCUGGAGUGCGGCAGAGGGGGAUGGAAUUCCGCGUGUAGCAGUGAAAUGCGUAGAUAUGCGGAGGAACACCGAUGGCGAAGGCAAUCCCCUGGGCCUGCACUGACGCUCAGGCACGAAAGCGUGGGGAGCAAACAGG